GAUGAACGCUGGCGGCGUGCCUAAUACAUGCAAGUCGAGCGAACAGACGAGGAGCUUGCUCCUCUGACGUUAGCGGCGGACGGGUGAGUAACACGUGGAUAACCUACCUAUAAGACUGGGAUAACUUCGGGAAACCGGAGCUAAUACCGGAUAAUAUAUUGAACCGCAUGGUUCAAUAGUGAAAGACGGUUUUGCUGUCUCUUAUAGAUGGAUCCGCGCCGCAUUAGCUAGUUGUUAAGGUAACGGCUUACCAAGGCAACGAUGCGUAGCCGACCUGAGAGGGUGAUAGGCCACACGGGAACGGAGACAGGGUCAAGACUCCUAAGGGAGGCAGCAGAAGGGAAUCUGCCGCAAUGGGCGAGAGCAUGACGGAGCAACGCCGCGUGAGUGAUGAAGGUCUUCGGAUCGGAAAAAUCUGUUAUUAGGGGAGAACAAAUGUGUAAGUAAAUAUGCACGUCUUGACGGUACCGAAUCAGAAAGCCACGGCUAACUACGUG
rnacentral:rRNA from 1 species